rnacentral:lncRNA from 1 species
AUGAUCUACUCUCAACUAUAGAUACAAAGAAUAAUAAACUACAUAAAAAGUUUAAAAAGCCAGUCAAUGGUUUAAAACAAUUAAUUAAAACACAUAAAUUGAUAGACAUUUGGAGACAAUUAAAUAAAGAUAAAAAACAAUACACAUGGAAAAGGAAAAAUUCUACAAAUGAAGCUAGUAGAAUAGACUUUUUUAUAAUAUGCACACAAGCACGCAUAAACACUGUAUCUGCUGAUAUCAGGCCUGCACAAAUUUCAUUCACAGAUCACCUGGCUAUUUCAAUUAAAUUAGACAUUUAUGCAAACAAUCGGGGUGAAGGAUAUUUUAAAAUGAAUAAUAGUAUAUUGACUGAUACUCAGUAUAAUAAACUAAUAAAUAAGUUAAUUGAAAAGUAUGAGCAAAAUUUUGAUCUUACAAAUGUCCGUAAUCAGUGGGACCUGCUAAAAACUGACAUAAGAGAGUCUACUAUCCAAUACUGUAAAUCUAAAGCCAAAGAAA